AGAGUUUGAUCAUGGCUCAGGAUGAACGCUAGCUACAGGCUUAACACAUGCAAGUCGAGGGGAAACGACAUCGAAAGCUUGCUUUUGAUGGGCGUCGACCGGCGCACGGGUGAGUAACGCGUAUCCAACCUGCCCAUCACUUGGGGAUAACCUUGCGAAAGUAAGACUAAUACCCAACGAUAUCUCUAGAAGGCAUCUGAAAGAGAUUAAAAGAUUUAUCGGUGAUGGAUGGGGAUGCGUCUGAUUAGCUUGUUGGCGGGGUAACGGCCCACCAAAGCAACGAUCAGUAGGGGUUCUGGAGAGGAAGGUCCCCCANAUUGGAACUGAGACACGGUCCAAACUCCUACGGGAGCA
rnacentral:rRNA from 1 species